AUAGAAAGCAGUUGUUGUUAGGGGAUUCUAUUAUAUGAGGUGUGAAGCUGUACAAUAGUGGUCUUGUGAGAUGUCUUCCUGGAGCUACUGCUCACAGAGACAGGAGACGUAUUUGUAAUUUUGUUAAGUGAGCAAAGCAGGAAGGGGAACUGGAUGUACUUGGCCAUCAGGUCUUUGUGAUGGACCGCCUGGCACCCUUACUGGGUACCUCCGCCAACUGAUGCUUCCUAGUUGUCGCCGAGUACCAAAAGCACCGCAC